UUUGCAGAAUGGCCCGCUUCGGAGACGAGAUGCCGGCCCGCUACGGGGGAGGAGGCUCCGGGGCAGCCGCCGGGGUGGUCGUGGGCGCCGGAGGCGGGCGAGGAGCCGGGGGCAGCCGGCAGGGCGGGCAGCCCGGGGCGCAAAGGAUGUACAAGCAGUCAAUGGCGCAGAGAGCGCGGACCAUGGCACUCUACAACCCCAUCCCCGUCCGACAGAACUGCCUCACGGUUAACCGGUCUCUCUUCCUCUUCAGCGAAGACAACGUGGUGAGAAAAUACGCCAAAAAGAUCACCGAAUGGCCUCCCUUUGAAUAUAUGAUUUUAGCCACCAUCAUAGCGAAUUGCAUCGUCCUCGCACUGGAGCAGCAUCUGCCUGAUGAUGACAAGACCCCGAUGUCUGAACGGCUGGAUGACACAGAACCAUACUUCAUUGGAAUUUUUUGUUUCGAGGCUGGAAUUAAAAUCAUUGCCCUUGGGUUUGCCUUCCACAAAGGCUCCUACUUGAGGAAUGGCUGGAAUGUCAUGGACUUUGUGGUGGUGCUAACGGGGUAAGUGGCGCGUGCUAUACGCUUUGGAUUUAACUAGCUGAAGGAUUACGAGGCUUUUGGUUGGUGUGGUCCGGGCCAGGCUCAGGAAGCCUGAGCCCUUGUGUUCUCCCUCCCCUUGUUAUGCGCCUGCCUCCUUUCUGCCAACACCCCACCUCCAUGUCUCAGCUAUAUAUUACAGCAGAUGCUUUCUGUUACAAUUAAAAUAAUAGCUCAUUAUUGUUGGCUGCUUCCAGAGUGCUUUAUGCCCAUUCUCUAAUUUAAUCCUUGCAACAACCCACUGAAUUAGGAAAUAUUAAUAUUCUCAUCUGACCACUGAGGAAUCAGAAACUCAGAGCGUAACUUGCUUAAGGCCACCCAGCAAGUAAGUAAUGGAACUGGGAGAUGAACAGAAGAUUAUGCAUUCCAGAACUCAAGGUUUUAAGUGUUGUACGUGCAUGGGUCUCUUGAUUUGCUUGAGGAUAUCUUGCUUUUAUUUCAACUUGGUGAAUGUUUUUUGAGAAUGUCUGGGUGCAAGGGAUUGUGAUUAUGACAAAGGAGAAAAGCAAGCUAAAUAAGGUGCAGUCACUGUCUUCAAGGAGUUUUCAGAUCCAUAUAUGAUGAACUGUGGUUGAAAUGUGUAUAUGCUUUCCUCUAAGCACCCCAUAUGAGGUAGCACUUGCUGGUAUAACAAAAGAUCCAAAGCUAGGAAAUGACUUAAACAUGGCAGAAGUUUAUUUGUCACUCAUAGAAAAUUCAAAAUUGAGCUGGGUGUGGUGGUGCAUGCCUGUAAUCUCAGCACUUUGGGAGGCUGAGGUGGGAGGAUCACUUGAGCUCAGGAGUUCAAGACCAGUCUGGGCAACACAGUGAGACCCCCCCCCCAAUCUGUAAAACAUAAAAUAAAAUAAAAAUUAACCAGGCAUGGUGGUACAUGCCUGGGAGAAUUGCUUGAGCCCAGGAGUUGGAGGGCACAGUGAGCUAUGAUCAUCCAACCGUGCUCCAGCCUGGGCAACAGAGCAAGACCCCAUCUCAAAAAAAAAAGUCCAAAAUAAUUGUUCCUAGUCGACAGGCUCAUCUCCUCCAAUGACUGACAGACCCUGACCCUUGCCAUAUUGUGGCUCUUCAUUGUCAGCCCACAUCAUCCAAUAACUCCAUGCUUGUCUGUAUCAAACCAGGAAGGAGAAAUGAGCAUAGAAGGUGAUACUUGGAAAGGUUUAUGAGUUUGGAAGGGGUGUGACCCAUGCCUGUUCCAUUCAUAUCCUAUUGGCUAGAACUCGGUCACAUGACCACACAUCACUGCAAGGGAAGCUGGGAAGUAUCAGAUUGUGCUUAGAAGAAAAGGGAAAUGGAUUUGGAGAAUGACCUACUAGUCUGUCAGGGACCUUAAAAACUUUCAUUAGAUUCCAGUAGGGACAUUAGUAUCUAGUACCAAUGGCUGGUUCCUCCUCUUCCCACUCUCUACUCUCCUCUCAGCUAAGUCUGGGCUCUCCUAUUCUAAGACCCUUCUUCACUGGACACCUUUUUCAUAGUAAUCAUUUACAGGAUCAUAGCUUUCCAUGUUUUGUUGCUGCUCCAGGUUGUGUCUCUCUUGGCGGAUGUGAUGGGUUGCAGCACCCACACUGUGCUGGCUGGGCUCUCACAAUGCAGAUUUGUUUCAGACAAUGUUGCCUCUCACAGAAGGAGCUGUGGCCUAUUGGGCUGUUUAUGUAGAGGCCUUCAGAUGUCAGCAGUCUGUUGUAAGGACUCUGGGCUAGCUCUCAUGGGCUUGGGUGUUCACAGAGGGAUCUUUGUUGGCUGUGCUCACAGUUCGGUGGCUUGGGACCUUGGUGGGUCCCAAGGGCAUAUUAUGGUACUGGGCACUUUUCUCUUAGUCUACUAGGAAACUCAUCUGGAAACAGCCUAGUGGCUAACUUUUUUAUUGUUUAAAAAAUGUAAAGCUGGGCAGGGUGGCUCAUGCCUGUAUCCCAGCACAUUGGGAGGCCAAGGUGGGAGGAUUGCUUGAGCCCAGGAGUUUGAGACGAGCCUGAGCAACAUAGCAAGACCACAUCUCCACAAAAUAAAAAUUAAAAGUGUAUAAAGCUGGGUACAGUGGCACAUGCCUGUAACCCCAAUUACUCAGGAGGCUGAAGAGAGAGGAUUGCUUGAGCCUAACUAGUUUGAGACCAGCUUGGGUAACCUAGCAAGAUCCCAUGCAAAACUAAGUAGAGAAUAAUAGAGCAAACACCUGUGUAUACAUUCAUUUAUUCAGUGACUAUUUAUUGAACACUUCUAUGUGCCAGGUCCUGUUCUAAGCUCUGGGACACAGCAGUAAACAAAAUAGAAAAAUCCCCUGUCCUCAUGGAGCUGAGAGUCUACUGAUGGAAAUGGACACAAUUGAUGAAUGAAUCUAGUGUGUCAGAUGGCGGUGAGGGGUACAGAGGAAAAAUAAAGCAGGGGAGGGAUGGGAUGUGUGGCAGGCAGGGGUGAGGGGUGCUGGAAGCCAGGGAAGACUUCACUGGGCAUGUGACAUCUGAAUGAAAACCUAAGGGAGGUGAGUGAGUGAGCCAUGAGGAGAGCU
rnacentral:sRNA from 1 species